rnacentral:rRNA from 1 species
GAUGAACGCUGGCGGCGUGCCUAAUACAUGCAAGUCGAGCGAACGGACGAGAAGCUUGCUUCUCUGAUGUUAGCGGCGGACGGGUGAGUAACACGUGGAUAACCUCCCUAUAAGUCUGGGAUAACUUCGGGAAACCGGAGCUAAUACCGGAUAAUAUUUUGAACCGCAUGGUUCAAAAGUGAAAGACGGUCUUGCUGUCACUUAUCGAUGGAUCCGCGCUGCAUUAGCUAGUUGGUAAGGUAACGGCUUACCAAGGCAACGAUGCAUAGCCGACCUGAGAGGGGGAUCGGCCACACUGGAACGGAGACACGGUCCAGACUCCUACGGGAGGCAGCAGUAGGGAAUCUUCCGCAAUGGGCGAAAGCCUGACGGAGCAACGCCGCGUGAGUGAUGAAGGUCUUCGGAUCGUAAAACUCUGUUAUUAGGGAAGAACAUAUGUGUAAGUAACUGUGCACAUCUUGACGGUACCUAAUCAGAAAGCCACGGCUAACUACGUG